rnacentral:rRNA from 1 species
GUAAGAGGGACAACGGUUCAAGGCCGAUCGUUAGCCUCGAGGGGUCCACAUGGAACUGAGCACCGCCAAGUUCUACGGAAGGGCAGCCAGUGAGUAUUCUUUCGUCAUAGGAUAAGUCCUGAACGGAGCAAACGGCCCGCUUUGAUUGAUGGAAGGGUUUUCGGAAUUGUUAUAAACUUCUGUUUAUCAGGGAAAGAACAAAAUGUAGUAAGGUAAUCUGUCCACCAUUCUUUGAACGGUACUUGAUUCAGAAAAGCCACGGCUAAACUAGGUGCCAGCCAGCCGCGGUAAAUACGUAGGUGGCCAAGCGUUAUCCGGAAUUUAUUGGGCCGUAAAGCGCGCGUAGGCGUUUUUUUUAGUUCUGAUGUGAAAGCCCACGGCUCCAACCGUGGAGGUUCAUUGGAAACUGGAAACUUGAGUGCAGAAGAGGAAAGUGGAAUUUCCAUGUGUAGCGGUGAAAUGCGCAGAGAUAUGGAGGACACCAGUGGCGAAGGCGACUUUUCUGGUCUGUAACUGACGCUGAUGUGCGAAAGCGUGGGGAUCAAACAGGAUUAGAUACCCUGGUAGUCCACGCCGUAAACGAUGAGUGAUAAGUGUUAGGGGGUUUCCGCCCCUUAGUGCUGCAGCUAACGCAUUAAGCACUCCGCCUGGGGAGUACGACCGCAAGGUUGAAACUCAAAGGAAUUGACGGGGACCCGCACAAGCGGUGGAGCAUGUGGUUUAAUUCGAAGCAACGCGAAGAACCUUACCAAAUCUUGACAUCCUUUGACCGCUCUAGAGAUAGAGUCUUCCCCUUCGGGGGACAAAGUGACAGGUGGUGCAUGGUUGUCGUCAGCUCGUGUCGUGAGAUGUUGGGUUAAGUCCCGCAACGAGCGCAACCCUUAAGCUUAGUUGCCAUCAUUAAGUUGGGCACUCUAAGUUGACUGCCGGUGACAAACCGGAGGAAGGUGGGGAUGACGUCAAAUCAUCAUGCCCCUUAUGAUUUGGGCUACACACGUGCUACAAUGGACAAUACAAAGGGCAGCUAAACCGCGAGGUCAAGCAAAUCCCAUAAAGUUGUUCUCAGUUCGGAUUGUAGUCUGCAACUCGACUACAUGAAGCUGGAAUCGCUAGUAAUCGUAGAUCAGCAUGCUACGGUGAAUACGUUCCCGGGUCUUGUACACACCGCCCGUCACACCACGAGAGUUUGUAACACCCGAAGCCGUCGGGAUCCAGAGUUUGAUCCUGGUCAGAACGAACGCUGGUUCCU